CUGUAUCACUGCUAUGUCUGCUGCCCAGGUCUGUCUGAAGUCCGCUAGUAGUGCCCUAAUGUCUUGCUUGGUGGCUAAGUUGGAGAGGUCAGGGUAAGGUGGGGCUGCUUGUUCACAGCUCUGUUGUUCAAAUUGAGGCUGUGUUUCCUCCUGUGUGGGAGUUUGGGGUGUAUUGGUGGCUGUACCUGCUUCAGGCGUUGCCAUCUUGCUUUGGGCCUGCUUCUGAAGCAUGGACCAGAUGUCUCUGGAGUCUCCUGGAGUCCCCUG